ACUACGGGAGGCAGCAGUGAGGAAUAUUGGUCAAUGGGCGCGAGCCUGAACCAGCCAAGUAGCGUGAAGGAUGACUGCCCUACGGGUUGUAAACUUCUUUUAUAAAGGAAUAAAGUGAGGCACGUGUGCCUUUUUGUAUGUACUUUAUGAAUAAGGAUCGGCUAACUCCGUGCCAGCAGCCGCGGUAAUCCGGAGGAUCCGAGCGUUCUCCGGAUUUAUUGGGUUUAAAGGGAGAGUAGAUGGGUUGUUAAGUCAGUUGUGAAAGUUUGCGGAUCAACCGUAAAAUUGCAAUUGAUACUGGCAGUCUUGAGUACAGUUGAGGUAGGCGGAAUUCGUGGUGUAGCGGUGAAAUGCUUAGAUAUCACGAAGAACUCCGAUUGCGAAGGCAGCUUACUAAACUGCCACUGACAUUGAUGCUCGAAAGUGUGGGUAUCAAACAGGAUUAGAUACCCCAGUAGUC
rnacentral:rRNA from 1 species